AUUGAACGCUGGCGGUAUGCUUAACACGUGCAAGUCGAACGGUAACAGGUCUAGCUUGCUAGAUGCUGACGAGUGGCGGACGGGUGAGUAACGCGUGGGAAUCUGCCUUCUAGUGGGGGAUAGCCCGGAGAAAUCCGGAUUAAUACCGCAUACGCCCUACGGGGGAAAGCCGGGGAUCUUCGGACCUGGCGCUAGUAGAUGAGCUCGCGUGAGAUUAGCUUGUUGGUGGGGUAAUGGCCUACCAAGGCAACGAUCUCUAGCUGGUCUGAGAGGACGAUCAGCCACACUGGGACUGAGACACGGCCCAGACUCCUACGGGAGGCAGCAGUGGGGAAUAUUGGACAAUGGGCGCAAGCCUGAUCCAGCCAUGCCGCGUGAGUGAUGAAGGCCUUAGGGUUGUAAAGCUCUUUCACCGGAGAAGAUAAUGACGGUAUCCGGAGAAGAAGCCCGGCUAACUUCGUGCCAGCAGCCGCGGU
rnacentral:rRNA from 1 species